GACGAACGCUGGCGGCGUGCUUAACACAUGCAAGUCGAACGGAAAGGCCCUGCUUUUGUGGGGUGCUCGAGUGGCGAACGGGUGAGUAACACGUGAGUAACCUGCCCUUGACUUUGGGAUAACUUCAGGAAACUGGGGCUAAUACCGGAUAGGAGCUCCUGCUGCAUGGUGGGGGUUGGAAAGUUUCGGCGGUUGGGGAUGGACUCGCGGCUUAUCAGCUUGUUGGUGGGGUAGUGGCUUACCAAGGCUUUGACGGGUAGCCGGCCUGAGAGGGUGACCGGCCACAUUGGGACUGAGAUACGGCCCAGACUCCUACGGGAGGCAGCAGUGGGGAAUAUUGCACAAUGGGCGGAAGCCUGAUGCAGCAACGCCGCGUGCGGGAUGACGGCCUUCGGGGUGUAAACCGCUUUCGCCUGUGACGAAGCGUGAGCGACGGUAAUGGGUAAAGAAGCACCGGCUAACUACG
rnacentral:rRNA from 1 species